GUUCCAAGGUCAAGAAUGGUGGAACAUUCACUCCCCUUUAGCCGCUCCCCAAGAUGAUGGAAGAAUUAUGAGGCAGUCAGGAAGGACCAAAAAUGGGAAAGUUGCUAGGAUGGAAGGGAACUUAACCAAUGGGAAGUGACGAUUCCCAACGCGUCCAUGAGGACAGAAGCGUGCCCACGUUUCAAGACGGUAUAAGAAACCUGGAACAAGGGGCAGAGGCAAGCACGCUAUGGCUGGACGCUUGUAGCUUGACGCUGUCAAUAUAACAUUACUCGAGCCUUCAGGGCACAACUACGCCGGGGUGCGAGGCGCACCGCUGAGACGAAGGACAAGAGAGACGGGUCCAUAGUUGCAGCCCGAUAGAUGGCGAAUAUUUUGGUUAUAAAUCUAGUGAAAUGCUACAUUUGG